rnacentral:rRNA from 1 species
GUGGGGAAUCUUGCGCAAUGGGCGAAAGCCUGACGCAGCCAUGCCGCGUGAAUGAUGAAGGUCUUAGGAUUGUAAAAUUCUUUCACCGGGGACGAUAAUGACGGUACCCGGAGAAGAAGCUCCGGCUAACUUCGUGCCAGCAGCCGCGGUAAUACGAAGGGGGCUAGCGUUGCUCGGAAUUACUGGGCGUAAAGGGCGCGUAGGCGGACAGCUUAGUCAGAGGUGAAAGCCCAGGGCUCAACCUUGGAAUUGCCUUUGAUACUGGCUGUCUUGAGUUUGGGAGAGGUGAGUGGAACUCCGAGUGUAGAGGUGAAAUUCGUAGAUAUUCGGAGGAACACCAGUGGCGAAGGCGGCUCACUGGCUCGAUACUGACGCUGAGGUGCGAAAGCGUGGGGAGCAAACAGGAUUAGAAACCCGAGUAGUCC